rnacentral:rRNA from 1 species
AUGGCAGCGACCCUUCGCCGCCGUGCCCCGACACAUUUUCCACCGGGGCCAGGCCGGGGCAGCGCACCGCACGCGCGCACGCUCUCUGACGCGGAGCACGACGGGCGAGCCACCUUGCCCGGCGGUCCCGGGGGCAGCAGGAAUCCGCGCUGCGCUGUCUGCCGUUGCACGCCCAUGUGGCCCUCCCCUCCCCACGCUUAUCAAUUGCUAAGCCGCCGUCGUCUUCUUCCUUCUACCUCUUUCAUCCCUACGUCCCACCUACCUAGCUCGUGUGCGCCAUCUGGAUCUGAAUCUAGCCCCCUCCUCCAUCCCUGUAUAUAA